UUGACCUCGGAUCAGGUAGGGAUACCCGCUGAACUUAAGCAUAUCAAUAAGUGGAGGAAAA
rnacentral:rRNA from 1 species